rnacentral:rRNA from 1 species
CCUACGGGAGGCAGCAGUGGGGGAUAUUGCACAAUGGCGGAAACCCUGAUGCAGCGAAGCCGCGUGAGUGACGAAGUAUCUCGGUAUGUAAAGCUCUAUCAGCCGGGGAGAAAAAAGACGGUACAUGACUAAGAAGCGCCGGCUAAAUACGUGCCAGCAGCCGAGGUAAUACGUAGGGGGCAAGCGUUAUCCGGAUUUACUGGGUGUAAAGGGAGCGUAGACGGCAAUACAAGUCGGAGGUGAAAUACCCGGGCUCAACCUGGGAACUGCUUGUGAAACUGUAUGGCUGGAGUGCUGGAGAGGUAAGCGGAAUGUCUGGUGUAGCGGUGAAAUGCGUAGAGAUUAGGAGGAACACCAGUGGCGAAGGCGGCUUACUGGAC